rnacentral:rRNA from 1 species
GACGAACGCUGGCGGCGUGCUUAACACAUGCAAGUCGAACGGAAAGGCCCUGCUGUUGUGGGAUGCUCGAGUGGCGAACGGGUGAGUAACACGUGAGUGACCUGCCCUUGGCGUUGGGAUAACUUCAGGAAACUGGGGCUAAUAUCGGAUAGGAGCUCCUGCGGCAUGGUGGGGGUUGGAAAGUUUCGGCGGUUGGGGAUGGACUCGCGGCUUAUCAGCUUGGUGGUGGGGUAGUGGCUUACCAAGGCUUUGACGGGUAGCCGGCCAGAGAGGGUGACCGGCCACAUUGGGACUGAGAUACGGACCAGACUCCUACGGGAGGCAGCAGUGGGGAAUAUUGCACAAUGGGCGGAAGCCUGAUGCAGCAACGCCGCGUGCGGGAUGACGGCCUUCGGGUUGUAAACCGCUUUCGCCUGUGACGAAGCGUGAGUGACGGUAAUGUGUAAAGAAGCACCGGCUAACUACGUG